GAUGAACGCUGGCGGCGUGCCUAAUACAUGCAAGUCGAGCGAAUGGAUUGAGAGCUUGCUCUUAUGAAGUUAGCGGCGGACGGGUGAGUAACACGUGGGUAACCUGCCCAUAAGACUGGGAUAACUCCGGGAAACCGGGGCUAAUACCGGAUAACAUUUUGAACCGCAUGGUUCGAAAUUGAAAGGCGGCUUCGGCUGUCACUUAUGGAUGGAGCCGCGUCGCAUUAGCUAGUUGGUGAGGUAACGGCUCACCAAGGCAACGAGGCGUAGCCGACCUGAGAGGGUAAUCGGCCACACUGGGACUGAGACACGGCCCAGACUCCUACGGGAGGCAGCAGUAGGGAAUCUUCCGCAAUGGACGAAAGUCUGACGGAGCAACGCCGCGUGAGUGAUGAAGGCUUUCGGGUCGUAAAACUCUGUUGUUAGGGAAGAACAAGUGCUAGUUGAAUAAGCUGGCACCUUGACGGUACCUAACCAGAAAGCCACGGCUAACUACGUGCCAGCCGCCGCGGUAA
rnacentral:rRNA from 1 species